CUGAGAAAUGUUCCCCAACAUGAGAAAUGAAUUUUAAAGUUUGACAUUAUUGAAAGCAAUCAGCUCUGAUUUCAAAGGCUGGCGAGCUUGCCCCGCGCCUGCACCCACCCAGGCCCAGCCCACCCCACCAAGACAGCGAACCCAUGACAUCAGAGCCUGUCCUAGGGAGAAAGUCUGGUGAGAGGAGGGGAAUGGAGUUACAACCUCAUGAACUGGGGAGAAUUUGGGAAUCCUCCCUGGCUUAGCUCACACUCCCGAUGCUUGUCAAAACGCACAUGCUCAGAACUGCCAGAUCGUGACAGCACACCUCUUGCCUCCUGAAUCCGUGUGGGAUCCCCAGCCCGAGAGAUGAGGCCAAAGGCUCCCAGCGGAAGACAGAGAUAAAGCAUCUGAUUUAUCCUGAGGCUCUGUGAGGCUAACGUCCAAGUUCACCCUUUCUGCCUCUGCCCUGGAUCUCCUCCCCUUACCUGGUAUGUAGCCAAGACACAAAGGCAAGACUCCGUGAUCUGCUCCUCCAGGAGAUAUAAUCUCCACAAGGUAGAGACGUGGCCUGUUUCCUCAGCAUCGAGAAGAGCCGACCACCCCAUAGGCAUUUCGACCAAGACUUGUAGAAGGAAUGAAUGAAUGAAUGAAUGAAGGCCAUGAUUUCAUAAAUAUUCUGGCUUAGGACAGGAGUCACUUUUGUGAAAAGUAAAGUUAAUUUUAAGGCUCAUAUUCAGUACAUAGGAAUACGAGGGGUACCCACUGAGGCAAAAAUCUCGAAGAGGAGGGGCGCCUGGGUGGCACAGAGGUUG